rnacentral:rRNA from 1 species
GCGUACGCAAUCUACCUUUCACAGAGGGAUAGCCUUGGGAAACUGAGAAUAAUACCUCAUGGUCUUGAUUGGUCGCAUGACUGGUUGAGUAAAGUUUUGGCGGUGAAAGAUGAGCGUGCGUGCUAUUAGGUAGUUGGUAAGGUAAUGGCUUACCAAGCCUACGAUAGCUAGGGGGCGUGAGAGCGUGAUCCCCCACACGGGUACUGAGACACGGACCCGACUCCUACGGGAGGCAGCAGUAAGGAAUAUUGGACAAUGGGCGCAAGCCUGAUCCAGCCAUCCCGCGUGGAGGAUGACGGC